GUAGGUGGCAAGCGUUGUCCGGAAUUAUUGGGCGUAAAGCGCGCGCAGGCGGUUCUUUAAGUCUGAUGUGAAAGCCCACGGCUCAACCGUGGAGGGUCAUUGGAAACUGGAGAACUUGAGUACAGAAGAGGAAAGCGGAAUUCCACGUGUAGCGGUGAAAUGCGUAGAGAUGUGGAGGAACACCAGUGGCGAAGGCGGCUUUUCUGGUCUGUAACUGACGCUGAGGCGCGGAAAGCGUGGGGAGCAAACAGGGAUUAGAUACCCUGGUAGUCCACGCCGUAAACGAUGAGUGCUAAGUGUUAGGGGGGUUUUCCGCCCCCUUAGUGCUGCAGCUAACGCAUUAAGCACUCCGCCUGGGGAGUAACGGCCGCAAGGCUG
rnacentral:rRNA from 1 species